GUACUGCACUGAAAACUACUCUUGGUUCACAGCAGCAAAAGCAAAAGUGUGACUGGGAUGAGCCUUCCCAUGAGGUUCUUAGUCCUUAUCUCCCCAAGUCCAAAAUUCCUCUGACUGCAAGAUCUUCUAAGAUAGUAAUUCCUUCCAGCAUUGCCAACUUUUACAGUUUCAUCAUAAAUCUGCUGGAGCUGGAUUUGCGUUAAGAUGAAACACAUUAGUCGUCAUGCUCUGUUCUUGCCUGCCUGGGGGAAAAGCCUGUUUGGGUUGGAUACCUUUCCUGCAUUUCUUCCAGCAAAAUAUGGGUGCUGGGGAGAGCAGGCAAUGCUCAGUCCCCAUCCCAUGAGGAACUGAGAGGAACUGGGAGAUAAAAGAAGGGGGCAAAAGGAAGAAACCAGUCUUAUGGGUCACAAAAUAUCUUUGCCCUGCUCUGAACAACAGAGGAAGAAUGUUCCUGUCAGCUGCAAAGCCAUGAGGGAGAGUGAGAGAGAAAACAAAAUCUGCAGCUGUAGAGGGACAGUGGCUUGAGGAAAACAGAGGUGCGUAGGCAAAAGAGGGAAGAUCAGUUAUGCAACCAUGAGUUUUGGGGACAGCUAAGAGUCGUGUAUCAUCAGAGAGCAUCUUGUGCCAAACCACAACCUUUAUUUUGUUCUAGUGAGAGUUUCGGUGAGUCUGGGAGUGCUGGUGAGGUUGUCUGUCAAACUAGGGAGGAAACUAGCAGAGAAGUUUAAAUGUCAACAGGCGGGAUAACAGCUAUUUUUAAAAUGCCUGAUGGUAGAAGCCAUCACCAGGAGGCUGCACUGGACUGGCUUUGGGUGCUGUGCUGCAGCAGAGACCCUCCUGUCAGCAAAGCAGGUGUAGCACAAUUGCUUCACACAUCAGGUUCCAUUGGCUGGGAAGUUAGCAGCCCCACCAGGGAGGAUUUCAGGCCAUUUUUGUCACUCUGAUGUGCAACUGCAUGGCUUGUGGGAGGGGCAUUGUAUUAUUUUUGUUACUUUACCUCCCUUUGCCUUUGGGAGACACCUGGUUUUGAGGGAAGCUAGCUCUCUCCUGAGGGGAACCUUUCUCUGCAGUCACUUAAUUGUUUGCUCCCAGCCAGGUUUGCUUAAUUAUCAGUUUGGGCUGAAAGUUAGCCAGGUGAGAGCUGCCCAGGCAACCUGUGCUCCUGAGCUCCCCUCACAGUACCUCAGCAAUGAGCGAGCUUCCAGUGCCUGGGGCAAACCAUUGUGUGGCAGCAGGUGGGAGGGGAAGGGCCGCCGGGCGUGGCGAGGCAGGUGCGUUAAAUGGCUGACCUGCUUAAUCCUGCCAGCUUCACACGGAUAUUUCAGUGUGAGUGAUAAGGCAUUUCUGCAGCACAGAGGGAACGUGCUGUGGAGUUGCACCUCAGAGAGGGGCACAGUUGCAUGGGGCAGCGUUCUUGUGGGCUGCAAGGUUAAUCCUGCAGCUCCCACAGCUCCCUCCUUCACGGGAUGGGCCUUCACAGGAUGGGCAGUCACGGAGCUGUUGAGGUUGCAGGAGAAUUGCUGAAGUUACUGAGUGACACAUUUGAGCACUGGAAUGGGCUCGGGAUCCGACUGUAUCACGGUGUCUAUUGAACUGUGACUAAUGACUGCAUCAGAGAGCUGGUUCACCAGGUCACCCUGGCUGUAGCUGGUAAUUGUUAGCAAUAAAACAAAUCGGGCUGAUACGCGCA
rnacentral:lncRNA from 1 species